rnacentral:rRNA from 1 species
GCUGGCGGCAGGCCUAACACAUGCAAGUCGAGCGGUAGAGAGAAGCUUGCUUCUCUUGAGAGCGGCGGACGGGUGAGUAAAGCCUAGGAAUCUGCCUGGUAGUGGGGGCUAACGUUCGGAAACGGACGCUAAUACCGCAUACGUCCUACGGGAGAAAGCAGGGGACCUUCGGGCCUUGCGCUAUCAGAUGAGCCUAGGUCGGAUUAGCUAGUUGGUGAGGUAAUGGCUCACCAAGGCGACGAUCCGUAACUGGUCUGAGAGGAUGAUCAGUCACACUGGAACUGAGACACGGUCCAGACUCCUACGGGAGGCAGCAGUGGGGAAUAUUGGACAAUGGGCGAAAGCCUGAUCCAGCCAUGCCGCGUGUGUGAAGAAGGUCUUCGGAUUGUAAAGCACUUUAAGUUGGGAGGAAGGGCAUUAACCUAAUACGUUAGUGUUUUGACGUUACCGACAGAAUAAGCACCGGCUAACUCUGUGCCAGCAGCCGCGGUAAUACAGAGGGUGCAAGCGUUAAUCGGAAUUACUGGGCGUAAAGCGCGCGUAGGUGGUUUGUUAAGUUGGAUGUGAAAUCCCCGGGCUCAACCUGGGAACUGCAUUCAAAACUGACUGACUAGAGUAUGGUAGAGGGUGGUGGAAUUUCCUGUGUAGCGGUGAAAUGCGUAGAUAUAGGAAGGAACCCCAGUGGCGAAGGCGACCACCUGGACUAAUACUGACCACUGAGGUGCGAAAGCGUGGGGAGCAAACAGGAUUAGAUACCCUGGUAGUCCACCGCCGUAAACGAUGUCAACUAGCCGUUGGGAGCCCUGAGCCUCUAGUGCCGCAGCUACC